rnacentral:rRNA from 1 species
AACGAACGCUGGCGGCAGGCUUAACACAUGCAAGUCGAACGCCCCGCAAGGGGAGUGGCAGACGGGUGAGUAACGCGUGGGAAUCUACCCAGUCCUUCGGAACAACACAGGGAAACUUGUGCUAAUACCGGAUACGCCCUACGGGGGAAAGAUUUAUCGGGAUUGGAUGAGCCCGCGUUUGGAUUAGCUAGUUGGUGAGGUAAAAGCUCACCAAGGCGACGAUGGGUAGCUGGUCUGAGAGGACGAUCAGCCACACUGGAACUGGAACACGGUCCAGACUCCUACGGGAGGCAGCAGUGGGGAAUCUUGCGCAAUGGGCGAAAGCCUGACGCAGCGACGCCGCGUGGGUGAAGAAGGCCUCGGGUUGUAAAGCCUGUCGAGUGGGAAAAGUAGGCACACUAAAUAAU